rnacentral:rRNA from 1 species
UACAGAGGUCCCAAGCGUUGUUCGGAUUCAUUGGGCGUAAAGGGUGCGUAGGCGGCGUGGCAAGUCGGGUGUGAAAUCUCGGAGCUUAACUCCGAAACUGCAUUCGAUACUGCCGUGCUUGAGGACUGGAGAGGAGACUGGAAUUUACGGUGUAGCGGUGAAAUGCGUAGAUAUCGUAAGGAAGACCAGUGGCGAAGGCGGGUCUCUGGACAGUUCCUGACGCUGAGGCACGAAGGCCAGGGGAGCAAACGGG